rnacentral:rRNA from 1 species
UGGGGAAUAUUGCACACUGGGCGCAAGCCUGAUGCAGCAACGCCGCGUGAACGAUGAAGGUCUUCGGAUCGUAAAGUUCUGUUGCAGGGGAAGAUAAUGACGGUACCCUGUGCGGAUGCCUCGGCUACCUACGUGCCAGCAGCCGCGGUAAUACGUAGGGGGCUAGCGUUAUCCGGAUUUACUGGGCGCAAAGGGUGCGUAGGUGGUCUUUCAAGUCGGUGGUUAAAGGCUACGGCUCAACCGUAGUUAGCCUCCGAAACUGGAAGACUUGAGUGCAGGAGAGGAAAGUGGAAUUCCAAGUGGAGCGGUGAAAUGCGUAGAUAUUGGGAGGAACGCCAGUAGCGAAGGAGGCUUUCUGGACUGCAACUGACACUGAGGAACGAAAGCAUGGGUAGCAAACAGG